rnacentral:rRNA from 1 species
AUUGAACGCUGGCGGCAGGCCUAACACAUGCAAGUCGAGCGGAGCGGCGGACGGGUGAGUAAUGCCUCGGAAUCUGCCUGGUAGCGGGGGAUAACGUCCGGAAACGGGCGCUAAUACCGCAUACUCACAGAUGAGCCUAGGUCGGAUUAGCUAGUUGUUGGGGUAAAGGCCUACCAAGGCGACGAUCCGUAACUGGUCUGAGAGGAUGAUCAGUCACAGUGGAACUGAGAGACGGUCCAGACCCCAACGUGAGGCAGCGGUGGGGAAUAUUGGACAAUGGGCUAAAGCCUGACCCAGCCAUGCCGGGUGUGUGAAGAAGGUCUUCGGAGUGUAAAGCACUUUAAGUUGUGAGACGUUACCAACAGAAUAAGCACCGGCUAACGUCGUGCCAGCAGCCGCGGUAAUUC